UACGAAGGGGGUUAGCGUUGUUCGGAUUUACUGGGCGUAAAGCGCACGUAGGCGGAUCGUUAAGUCAGGGGUGAAAUCCUGGAGCUCAACUCCAGAACUGCCUUUGAUACUGGCGAUCUUGAGUCCGGAAGAGGUUAGUGGAACUCCUAGUGUAGAGGUGGAAUUCGUAGAUAUUAGGAAGAACACCAGUGGCGAAGGCGGCUCACUGGUCCGGUACUGACGCUGAGGUGCGAAAGCGUGGGGAGCAAACAGG
rnacentral:rRNA from 1 species